UUUCCCCUGCGGUGUUCGUUUAGGUCUUAGAUUCUCUGAACCAACAUUGCUGAAGCUGGUUGCCGACUCAAGCAGCGCCGGUGUGCGCGUCCGACAUGGAAGCGCCUGAAGGGCUCGGAAGGCGACCACCCUUGAACCAACGGUUCAAGAUGCAGGCCUGACGGCACAGGCGGGGGUCCC
rnacentral:other from 1 species